rnacentral:rRNA from 1 species
UUGAUCCUGGCUCAGGACGAACGCUGGCGGCGUGCCUAAUACAUGCAAGUCGAGCGGAGCACUUGCGAAAAUCCUUCGGGGUAGACGCCUAUGAGUUGACGGCGAACGGGUGAGUAACGCGUGAGUAACCUGCCCUUCAAACGGGGAUAACAGCUCGAAAGGGCUGCCAAUACCGGAUACGAUUACUGCAUCACCUGGUGUGGUAAUGAAAGUGUUAGCGCUUAACGAUGGACUCUCGUCCCAUUAGCUAGUUGGUGAGGUAAUGGCCCGCCAAGGCAACGAUGGCUAGCCGGCCUGAGAGGGUGAACGGCUCACUGGGACCGACAACCGCUAACUCCUCGGAGGCACGUUAGGUAUGCUGAAUCAUUGGCAAUGGCCUGAAACCAUGACGCCCGACUGCGCAGUGAGCGAAUAAGCGUCUGGGGUCUAAAGCUCGUCCUAUGGAGAUAUGACGGUCACCAUAGACGACGCCCGCUACUACUACAUGCCCUCAGCCCCGAGCUAUACGUAGGGGGCAAGCGUGUUCCGUCGGAAUUAUUGGGCAUGUAAAGGGUGCGUAGCAGAUAUGUAAGUCCGAGGAAAUGCUCGGUCAACCGAAGUUGCAUUGAACUGGUAUCUAGAGUUCAGAGAGGGAAAGCGAAUCCUAGUGUGCUGCUGAAUGCGUAGAUAUUAGACGAACACAGUGCGAAGGGCUUCUGACUGUACUGACGUAUGCACUGAAGCUGGCAGCGAACAGGUUAGUACCUGGUGUCCAGCGUAAACAUGGUACUAAUGUGUGGUCACUUCAGUGGCAGUGCCCAGUAACGCAUUAGUACCCGCCGAGUCACGGCGCAAGGCUGAAAUCAGGAAUUGACGGGGCCGCACAGCGAGCUGGAGCAUGGUUUAAUGAAGCUAACGAGACUUACAGGUCUGACAUCCUUUGAUGCGUAUAGAGAUUACCUUUUCUAGUCGAGCAGCAGAGACAGGUGGAUGCAUGGUCGUCGUCAGCUCGUGUCGUGAAGUUAGGGCUUAGUCGCACACGCACCCUACGAUCGUUCUGUAUUAAGGGGCUACUUUAAGUCGGACAUGCGAGUGCAAACCGGCACAGUGGAUGGGGGGCAUGUAGUCAACAUCAUGCCCUUAUGUCCUGGGCUACACACGUGCUACAAUGGCUGGUACAGAUGGAAGCGAAGGAGCGAUCUGGAGCGGAUCCCAAAAAGCCAGUCGUAGUUCGGAUCGCAGGCUGCAACUCGCCUGCGUGAAGUCGGAAUCGCUAGUAAUCUCGGGUCAGCAUACCGUGGUGAAUACGUUCCCGGGCCUUGUACACACCGCCCGUCACACCACGAAAGUCAGAAACACCCGAAGCCGGUGACCUAACCUUAGGGAAGGAGCUGUCGAGGGUGGGGCAGAUGAUU